rnacentral:snoRNA from 1 species
CCCCUCGCGGCAUUGUACCUGGAGAGUUUCCAGAACUCUACCAGUCCAGACUAUGGAAGAGAGAGUCAAGCAGAGGCAUACCCAUUCCAUUCCUAGCUUGGGCAGUGGCUAGUGAGUGGAAGACAAUCUGCUACAAGU